GACGAACACUGGCGGCGUGCUUAACACAUGCAAGUCGAACGGAAAGGCCCUGCUUUUGUGGGGUGCUCGAGUGGCGAACGGGUGAGUAACACGUGAGUAACCUGCCCUUGACUUUGGGAUAACUUCAGGAAACUGGGGCUAAUACCGGAUAGGAGCUCCUGCUGCAUGGUGGGGGUUGGAAAGUUUCGGCGGUUGGGGAUGGACUCGCGGCUUAUCAGCUUGUUGGUGGGGUAGUGGCUUACCAAGGCUUUGACGGGUAGCCGGCCUGAGAGGGUGACCGGCCACAUUGGGACUGAGAUACGGCCCAGACUCCUACGGGAGGCAGCAGUGGGGAAUAUUGCACAAUGGGCGGAAGCCUGAUGCAGCAACGCUGCGUGCGGGAUGACGGCCUUCGGGUUGUAAACCGCUUUCGCCUGUGACGAAGCGUGAGUGACGGUAAUGGGUAAAGAAGCACCGGCUAACUACGUG
rnacentral:rRNA from 1 species